UUCCCCUUCGGGGGACAAAGUGACAGGUGGUGCAUGGUUGUCGUCAGCUCGUGUCGUGAGAUGUUGGGUUAAGUCCCGCAACGAGCGCAACCCUUAAGCUUAGUUGCCAUCAUUAAGUUGGGCACUCUAGGUUGACUGCCGGUGACAAACCGGAGGAAGGUGGGGAUGACGUCAAAUCAUCAUGCCCCUUAUGAUUUGGGCUACACACGUGCUACAAUGGACAAUACAAAGGGCAGCUAAACCGCGAGGUCAUGCAAAUCCCAUAAAGUUGUUCUCAGUUCGGAUUGUAGUCUGCAACUCGACUACAUGAAGCUGGAAUCGCUAGUAAUCGUAGAUCAGCAUGCUACGGUGAAUACGUUCCCGGGUCUUGUACACACCGCCCGUCACACCACGAGAGUUUGUAACACCCGAAGCCGGUGGAGUAACCAUUUAUGGAGCUAGCCGUCGAAGGUGGGACAAAUGAUUGGGGUGAAGUCGUAACAAGGUAGCCGUAUCGGAAGGUGCGGCUGGAUCACCUCCUUU
rnacentral:rRNA from 1 species